GAUGAACGCUGGCGGCGUGCCUAAUACAUGCAAGUCGAGCGGUAAGGCCCUUCGGGGUACACGAGCGGCGGACGGCUGAGUAACACGUAGGAACGUACCCCAAACUGAGGGAUAAGCACCAGAAAUGGUGUCUAAUACCGCAUGUGGCCCACGGGCUAAAGCUCCGGCGGUUCGGGAACGGCCUGCGUCCGAUUAGCUAGUUGGCGAGGUAAUAGCUCACCAAGGCGACGAUCGGUAGCUGGUCUGAGAGGAUGAUCAGCCAGACUGGGACUGAGAUACGGCCCAGACUCCUACGGGAGGCAGCAGUGGGGAAUAUUGCACAAUGGGCGCAAGCCUGAUGCAGCGACGCCGCGUGAGGGAUGACGGCCUUCGGGUUGUAAACCUCUUUCAGCACCGACGAAGCGCAAGUGACGGUAGGUGCAGAAGAAGGACCGGCCAACUACGUGCCAGCAGCCGCAGUAA
rnacentral:rRNA from 1 species